rnacentral:rRNA from 1 species
ACAGCAGUAGCCGCGGUAAUACGAAGGGUGCAAGCGUUAAUCGGAAUUACUGGGCGUAAAGCGUGCGUAGGCGGUUUGUUAAGUCUGCUGUGAAAUCCCCGGGCUCAACCUGGGAAUGGCAGUGGAUACUGGCAAGCUAGAGUGUGUCAGAGGAUGGUGGAAUUCCCGGUGUAGCGGUGAAAUGCGUAGAGAUCGGGAGGAACAUCAGUGGCGAAGGUGGCCAUCUGGGACAACACUGACGCUGAGGCACGAAAGCGUGGGGAGCAAACAGGAUUAGAUACCCCCGUAGUCCCUGUCUCUUAUAC